rnacentral:rRNA from 1 species
GUCCACGCCGUAAACGAUGAGCACUAGGUGUCGGGGUCGCAAGAUUUCGGUGCCGUAGUUAACGCAUUAAGUGCUCCGCCUGGGGAGGUACGUUCGCAAGAAUGAAACUCAAAUAGAAUUGACGGGGGACCCGGCCACAAGCAGCGGAGCAUGUGGUUUAAUUUCGAAGCAACGCGAAGAAACCUUACCAGGACUUGACAUCCUUCUGACAGGACCUUAACCGGUCCCUCCUUCGGGCAGAAGAGACAGGUGGUGCAUGGUUGUCGU